GUUCACAAUCUCUAGAUCUUCAGGCAUUUCACCUUUCUUAUUAAAGAUAAAAGAAAAGAAGGAAAAAGAAGAAUGUAAAAAGUAGGAAAAAGGAAGAUUGAAUGUAAUAAUUGAAAAUGGAUAAGAAUAAGAACGAAAAUGAUCAUACUCACCAGAUGUUAAGAGAUCCACAUGGCGGUCUUAUCCGGACGGAGAAGAAAAGGAAAGAGAAAGCCACUGAUCAGAAAAGACGUAAUUGGUUCCCGAGUUUUGGAAAUUUUGUCCCAGGAAGGCGUAAGCUUGAAUUUGUGUUGAAAUUCUUUCAUUUCUAGCCAUAAAACCAUUGACUGUGGACAGCAUUGACAGCCCACCCAGACAUUCUUCACAUUCAUAGUAGUAAGCAUUGAAGUAUUUACACUGUAUACGUCCUCCCCCUCUGAUGUGGUACGGAAGUGUUAUCCAGAACGGGCUUUCUUUUUGCAUUUGCACAUCA